rnacentral:rRNA from 1 species
UACGUAGGGGGCAAGCGUUGUCCGGAUUUAUUGGGCGUAAAGAGCGUGUAGGCGGUUUGGUAGGUCCGCUGUGAAAACUCGAGGCUCAACCUCGAGACGUCGGUGGAAACUGCCUCGCUAGAGUCCGGAAGAGGAGAGUGGAAUUCCUGGUGUAGCGGUGAAAUGCGCAGAUAUCAGGAAGAACACCCGUGGCUAAGGCGGCUCUCUAGUACGGUACUGACGCUGAGACGCGAAAGCGUGGGGAGCGAACAGG